GUGAAUCAUCGAAUCUUUGAACGCAUAUUGCGCCCAUUGGUAUUCCGAUGGGCAUGCCUGUUCGAGCGUCAUUUCACCCCUCAAGUAUCUCAUACUUGGUGUUGGAGCUCUCUAUAGUGGUAACGCUAUAGGCUCUGAAAGCAAUCGGCGGGCGUUUUAGUGAACCCGGACGUAGUAAAACUACUUUUCGUUCAGGGCCUUUUUAUAAACUUUCUAGCCGUUAAGCACCCAAAACUUUUACAAGUUGACCUCGAUCAGGUAGGAAUACCCGCUGAACUUAAGCAUAUCAAUAAGCGGAGG
rnacentral:rRNA from 1 species